GCGCAGCAGUCGCGAAUCUUCGGCAAUGGACGCAAGUCUGACCGAGCGACGCCGCGUGCGGGAUGAAGGCCCUUGGGUUGUAAACCGCUGUCAGAGGGGAUGAAAUGCGAGAGGGCUAUCCCUCUCGUUUGACAGAGCCUCAGAGGAAGCACGGGCUAAGUACGUGCCAGCAGCCGCGGUAACACGUACUGUGCGAACGUUAUUCGGAAUCACUGGGCUUAAAGGGUGCGUAGGCGGUUUAGUAAGUAGGGUGUGAAAUGCCAGAGCUCAACUUUGGCACGGCGCUCUAAACUGCUAAACUUGAGUGAGAUAGGGGUGUACGGAACUUCCGGUGGAGCGGUGAAAGUGCGUUGAUAGU
rnacentral:rRNA from 1 species